ACAAUGGCGGAGGUGAAACACCCGUUCCCAUCCCGAACACGGCAGUUAAGCCCUCCAGCGCCGAUGGUACUGCAGUGAAGCUGUGGGAGAGUAGGACGUUGCCAGGA
rnacentral:rRNA from 1 species